GCCUCAGAAUUCGGGGUGGCACGGUUCACAAAACCCAAGGUUCGGUUCGUAUCAUGGUUUUAGGGGCACUAUUUUUGGUUCUUGUUAUUUUUUUUCUAUUAAUCUUUAAAACUCCAGAAAUAUACUUAAUAGCUU